CCCUUAGAUGUUCUGGGCCGCACGCGCGCUACACUGAUACGUUCAACAAGUUCCUUGGCCGAAAGGUCUGGGUAAUCUUUGAAACCGUAUCGUGAUGGGGAUAGAACAUUGCAAUUAUUGUUCUUCAACGAGGAAUUCCUAGUAAACGCAAGUCAUCAACUUGCAUUGAUUACGUCCCUGCCCUUUGUACACACCGCCCGUCGCACCUACCGAUUGAAUGGUCCGGUGAAGCCUCCGGAUUGGCGCGCACCUCGGUGCCGCCGAGAAGUUGGCUAAACCUUACCAUUUAGAGGAAGGUGAAGUCGUAACA
rnacentral:rRNA from 1 species